UCAAACUAAAAAUAUACCUUGUUUUGUCUUUAAUAUUUUACUAGGAAAUCUGAGUAAAGGAUCUGAGUAUAAUAUCUCAAAGAAGCUGAGAAUUUGACAGCUGCAAAUAUGAAAAGAAUAGUCUUGCCUGCACCAAAGGAAACAAACUUACGUUUCAAUCACAGGCGAAAACAUCACCUUUUUGUAGAAAUGUUUGUAUCGGAAGAGCACCGUCUGAACUCC